CAGUAGCCGCGGUAAUACGAAGGGUGCAAGCGUUAAUCGGAAUUACUGGGCGUAAAGCGCGCGUAGGUGGUUCAUUAAGUUGGAUGUGUAAUCCCCGGGCUCAACCUGGGAACUGCAUCCAAAACCGGCGAGCUAGAGUAUGGUAGAGGGUGGUGGAAUUUCCUGUGUAGCGGUGAAAUGCGUAGAUAUAGGAAGGAACAUCAGUGGCGAAGGCGACCACCUGGACUGAUACUGACACUGAGGUGCGAAAGCGUGGGGAGCAAACAGGAUUAGAUACCCGAGUAGUCCCUGUCUCUUAUAA
rnacentral:rRNA from 1 species